GGGUGAUUAAAUUUGAGAGAGGACUUCUAUCGCCUCUGGUGACAUUUGAUCUCUUCUCCAAAGCUGGAAAAAAGUAAGUGCAAUUCGUUUUGUGGAACAGUAUGUUUUAUCCACAGGCUUUAUCCACACGUGAGGAAGGUAAAGUUGGGUUAUAGUGACUACUAACUGUUUAGUUCUAAAAGCGAAAAUUAAAGUACGGAACUAAGCAUGUAGAUACGGGAGGGGAGCAUUUUUGGACGCGGGUUCGACUCCCGCCGCCUCCACCA
rnacentral:tmRNA from 1 species